rnacentral:rRNA from 1 species
UACGUAGGGGUCGAGCGUUGUCCGGAGUUACUGGGCGUAAAGCGCGCGCAGGCGGCGCGAUAAGACCGGCGUGAAACCCCCAGGCUCAACCUGGGGACGCCACCCGAUACUGCUGUGGCUAGAGUCCAGUAGGGGAGUGUGGAAUUCCCGGUGUAGCGGUGAAAUGCGCAGAUAUCGGGAGGAACACCAGCGGCGAAGGCGGCACUCUGGGCUGGAACUGACGCUGAGGAGCGGAAAGCGUGGGGAG